GAUGAACGCUGGCGGCGUGCCUAAUACAUGCAAGUCGAGCGAACGGACGAGAAGCUUGCUUCUCUGAUGUUAGCGGCGGACGGGUGAGUAACACGUGGAUAACCUACCUAUAAGACUGGGAUAACUUCGGGAAACCGGAGCUAAUACCGGAUAAUAUUUUGAACCGCAUGGUUCAAAAGUGAAAGACGGUCUUGCUGUCACUUAUAGAUGGAUCCGCGCUGCAUUAGCUAGUUGGUAAGGUAACGGCUUACCAAGGCAACGAUGCAUAGCCGACCUGAGAGGGUGAUCGGCCACACUGGAACUGAGACACGGUCCAGACUCCUACGGGAGGCAGCAGUAGGGAAUCUUCCGCAAGGGGCGAAAGCCUGACGGAGCAACGCCGCGUGAGUGAUGAAGGUCUUCGGAUCGUAAAACUCUGUUAUUAGGGAAGAACAUAUGUGUAAGUAACUGUGCACAUCUUGACGGUACCUAAUCAGAAAGCCACGGCUAACUACGUG
rnacentral:rRNA from 1 species